ACUGAGACAGAUGGGAGGAGGGCAGGAUUUGGAACUGGGUCCAGAGGAUCUCUCUGCCCCUGCUCAGCUUGGCCAGGCUGAGCUAGGGCCCCCAGUGAGCUCAGACUCCCUCUGUCAAUUGGGAGUCAAAACACCUCACUGUCACGUGUUGAAAAGACUGGUGUGUUACACAAUUCUAGGCUGUGAAGGCUGGACACUAAUAACCUGCACCAGACCCCCAUGGCCAGCAAGGAAGAGUGCCAGGAUGCUGCCUCCAGGAACAGGCAUCCCAGGGUACCAGGAGCAGCCAGAGGACAGAAGCACACUGGGAAACAACCCAGGCCAGGGCUGCAAGAAGCCCCGGCAGGUGAGGCCUUGUGGUUUCCCUGUGGACUUCCUCUGCACAUCACCACGGAAGAAGAGCCUCUGGGGAGCGGGCAGGGCACAAAGAGUGCAGCUGGCGGGGUCUUACUGAGCCGCACUAGCUGGCCUCGAGCUCACAGAGAUCUGCUCACCUCUGCUGGGACAGCACAGAAGCAAGCCUUCCGUUUAUGGGCACCCUCCUGCAGAGGAGAAGGCAUGAAGGACGGCUGACUGCCUCUGAAAGUUUGCCCGGACUUCCUGCCUAGGCCACACAGUUCAAGCCAGACAGUCCCUUGGAAUCUGAAGGUCAUGUGUUUAGUUUGUUCAUGUCCUGUGUGAGUGUUUACUGGGACCCAAGAGCCUUCCAGGCAUCAGGCUUGGGAAACCUUGACUAGGGGCUGGGCUUCAGGCUGUCCAGCUACCUCAUGGUACACUAGGGCUCUGACCCCACUCCUGCAGGGACACGGGGUCCCCUCUGUGCUCACUCUGGCUGGCCCCUGGGCUUUGGGUAGACCUAGAAGAGGAGACCUAGAAGGCCCCUCCCUGUGAAGUCCAUUGGGAAUAGGUCAGAACAGCCUGCCUAGGGCCUGCCAUGGGCAGCCAUUUCCAGAAAGGGGGCUUCAUCUUUUUGUUGUUGUUGGCAAAUAUGCAUGUAGUCUUAAUUAUUUAUACCUGGCACUUAUCUCCCCAAAUGUUUUAUCGGGAUUCUGUAGUCAGGCAAGCAUGCAUGGCAGGUGACAGGGUGGGAAGUAGACAGACACACAGACCCAGGCAGCACCCAAAUCAUCCUGGCCCAGUGGUCAAGAUGGAGGGACCCCAUCAGUGGGAGUGUUGACCUUUCCACGCACAUGUGUGUGUGGUGCCCAUGGGAGUCUAGAGCUGGCAGGCUUAUCCAUUGCUUGCCUAGGUUGCAGCAGGGUGUGACCACCAAAGCCCAGUUCUCCUGUAUUUGGUUGGUAGGCAGAGCUGCAUAGGGAGCGAGCCACUCUUGAGGCCCAAAGAAGGGCCCUAAAUUGGCUACGGCAAUACAUGCUUAUAUUCCUGGUACUUGAGAGACGAAGGCAAGAGGCUUGCGAGUUUAAGCCUAGCCUGGGCUGCACAGUGUGUUCUAGGCUAGCUUGGGGAAAAUGAAAUCCUGUCUUCCAAAAACUAAACCAGAGGUUGAAAAGAUGGCCCAACAGUUAAGAGCAGUGGCUGCACUUGCAGACGACCAAAGGUCAGUUCCCAGCACCCACAUGGCAGUCCACAAGCAUCUGUAACUCCUGCUCUGGGAAUCCAACGCCUUCUUUGGGUACCAGGGAUGCAUGGGGUGAAUGUACAUCCAUGCAGGCAAAGCACCUAUGCACAAACUAAAAAUUAAAAAUUAGCCAGGCACGGUUUAACCUUGAAAAGGAGUGGCAGGCUGGGUGGUGGCGGUGAUGGCACAUACCUUUAAUCCCAGCACUCCAGAGGCAGGGGGAAUCUCUGAGGCCAGCCCAGUCUACAGAGUUCCAGGACAGCCAGGGCUACAAACUUGGUCUUGAAAAUCAAAACCACAAUACAAAAAAAAAAAAAAAAAAAAUUAAAGAUUUAGAAAAUAUUUUUAAGCACUUGCUGCUCUUGCGGGGGACCUGGGUUCUCUUCCCAACAUGGCACCGCAACUGUCUGCUGUCUGUAACUCCAUCAGAUCCUGUGGAUCUGAUCCUCCUUUUGAGUAGCAAGCAUAUAUGUAGUCCACAAAUACACAUACAUGCAAAAACACUCAUCCGCACAAAAUAAAUGAAUCUUAAAAACAAAAUGGCAGAACCGGGCAGUGGUGGCACACACCUUUAAUCCCAGCACUUGGGAGGCAGAGGCAGGUGGAUUUCUGAGUUUGAGGCCAGCCUGGUCUACAGAGUGUGUUCCAGGACAGCCAAGGCUAAACAGAUAUACAGAGAAAAAAAAAAAAAAUGGCCAGGGGGCUGGAGAGAUUGCUCUUCGGAUAAGAGCACUGACUGCUCUUCCAUAUGUCUUGAGUUCAAUUCCCAGCAACCACAUGGUGGCUCACAACCAUCUGUAAUGGGGAUCUGACACCCUCUUCUGGUGUGUCUGAAGACAGCAACAGUGUACUCACAUACAUGAAAUAAAUAAAUCUUAAUAAAGGCCAGCCCGGGAGCUGGGUAUGUGGAGCACACCUGCAACCCCAGCCUUUGAGAGGCAGCUCUCUGCGAGUGUGUCAGGCAAAGAAUCCCAUAUAGGGAAUUCCCGACUAGCCAUGGCUACACAGUUUGUCUCAAACAAGGACAGGAGACCUUGGCAUUCCAACACCCAGGUUAGGGAUUUGAUCUCCUGCUCUCUGGAGCUUGGAAAAUGGAGUAGUCUUACAGUGUUUAUUUUGCAGAUGAGGCCCAGACACAAGACACACUGGGUUUGGUACCACCACAUCAUCCCAUUUACGCGCAGCUGCCUCAGCGAUCCGGACUAAAGGAGUGUAGUGGGUGUGGUCCACCCCUCCCUACCAGGUCUCAGUUUUCGCAGCCCCAUAGGAGAUUCAUUCCCAAAGUGACUUUGCCCGGAACUUGCCCUUGCCUCUGAACUUGCAAGAUUGCUGAGGUUUCAGAGGUCAGCCUUCCCACACAGGAUCAGCUUCCAAGUGUUCCACCAACGCACCCUUAGCCAGAUCUCCGGGUCUGUGCAUCCACAGCCAGCAGGCCUCAGGAGUCUGCAGCGGGAUCAGCUGCAAGCCAGGGCAUCGAGUGGGUCUGGGUGGGAGGUCCACUCGGGGAAAGGAAGCGGGACAGCAUGCACCCCACUAGUUACCCAUAAACCCACAGGAGUGAGCUCGAGCAGGGCAGGGCGGGACUGGGAGCUGCCCCUGGGGACACCUGUCCCUGCUCACACUCAUCAUGGGGCUUUCGUUUGUGAUGUGUCGGGUGGAAAGCACUGGCAAUCGGUGAUCUAGCCCGAGUUUCCAUCACUAGGAUCCGAGUGGGGCGAGCUUCUGCCAUGGUCCCCCUGGCCUCUGAGACCGGUGUGUGGGGGUCAAGGCAGAAUUCUUCCCUGAAAUUAAGCAUCCACUCCCCAUUCCUGCAGCCUGUGAGCGGAGAGGGAGAUUCCCUGCGGCUCCCGGCGGGGGGCCUUCGGGCCUGGUAAUUGGUGCAUCGAUUAGCAGCUGGGGUGUAGGGCUCUCAGAUGGGGGCGGGAGGCCGAGUCUCGGGCAGGCCCCGGGGAGAUAUUGCUGGAGGGAGGCGGGAAGACCGGUGGUGCCAGGUUAGGGAGGGCCUCCUUGCCUCCCUGAGCUACAGGGAAGGGGGGACGGGUAGGAUCCCCUGGGGUGGCCAGGACCGCCCGGGCCCCCUUGGGCCCCUGGAAGAAUUGGUUCCCACCAGCCAACCUGUUCCCACAGCCAGAAGUUGCCAUGGUGACCCCCUCCCACCUUCAGCUACAGCUUUUCCAGUAAAACCACUGCCGAGAUCCAUACUUCCCGACAGGCACGCCUGCGGGCCCCCACCCCCCCUCGUGGCAGCCGGGAGCAGCUGGGAGUUAACCCUGCAUAUGCCGGGGGACUGUUGUUUGGGAGGGGGGGGCGGAGAAAGGAAAUCGGGAGCCAGUAAUGGGGACCGUGGGUAGGAGUGAAGGUGGGCAGGGAAAUGAUCCUGGCCAGCGACUUGAGCUAGUCUGGAACUUGGAGCAAAGAAGCCAAACUUAGCCAAGCCCCCUGGGCCUCUGGGAGGCCUUGCCUUGCGGGGGGCAGGGGAGACCCACUGGCAUCCAUGCUCCAACCUCUGGAGGGACCCAGUUGUAUGCGGGGACAGUGGAUUCUGUCUAGCUUAGCCUGAGCGGCAGCCCUGUCUGACUUUCUCCCUUGUC